UUGAUUUCCAUUAAUCGUGAACCUUGUUUUAAUGUAAUUUAAUUCAUUUUUUUUUUAAAAACAUCGCAAACACAAUACUAAUAAGAUAUUAAAUAACAUAUAAAGACUAAUUCCGAACUGCAAAAAUGUGUAUUUGUUUCAAACGGGUGUGUCAAAACCUUUUUGGGGACAAUCGUCAAAGUGACAAUCCAUCUAUUAUCAUAGUACGUGUGUAGAUAGUAAAUCCAGCGAGCAGGAGCAGUAAAGGCUCGUCGAAGAAAAACAAAAAUCAGAAUGACUUAAAUGAAAUGCACGUUAUCGCCCAUAAUCUGCAGCAAGGUCCGAGUGCGGAUGGCCCAUCUGUAAAUCCCGAAACGAUUGAAGCAGGAAACGUACAAAUUACCAUAAAACACAAUGAUAGGGAUACGGCAAUCAUCAUAGCAAAAGGUGAAGAAGCGGAGGUUAACACAAGCAAAGGUCAGAAAAAAAAACAACCCAUAAAAAAAGAUACGGCGGAAACUAGAAAAAAUGAGAGAAAAUCACCGAGGAAAAAUUCACCUAGAAAAAAAUAAACGU